GAGGGAAGGCCCCUCGAAAUCGGUAUUCAGGUACAGGUUUCAAACCGCCUUUGGGUGCUGCAGUCAAAAGCUGUGGUACUGAGCGCAAACGGAAAAGGCUAAUACAUUAGUCAGGU
rfam:Actinobacteria bacterium CG2_30_50_142 cg2_3.0_scaffold_2150_c, whole genome shotgun sequence.